rnacentral:rRNA from 1 species
CCUACGGGAGGCAGCAGUGAGGAAUAUUGGUCAAUGGGCGUAAGCCUGAACCAGCCAAGUCGCGUGAGGGAUGAAGGUUCUAUGGAUCGUAAACCUCUUUUAUAAGGGAAUAAAGUGUGGGACGUGUCCUGUUUUGUAUGUACCUUAUGAAUAAGGAUCGGCUAACUCCGUGCCAGCAGCCGCGGUAAUACGGAGGAUGCGAGCGUUAUCCGGAUUUAUUGGGUUUAAAGGGUGCGUAGGCGGAAUAUCAAGUCAGCGGGAAAAAUUCGGGGCUCAACCCCGUCGUGCCGUUGAAACUGGUGUUCUUGAGUGGGGGAGAAGUAGGCGGAAUGCGUGGUGUAGCGGUGAAAUGCAUAGAUAUCACGCAGAACUCCGAUUGCGAAGGCAGCAUACCGGCGCCCAACUGACGCUGAAGCACGAAAGCGUGGGUAUCGAACAGGAUUAGAUACCCUAGUAGUC